AUUGAACGCUGGCGGCAGGCCUAACACAUGCAAGUCGAACGAGCGGCGGACGGGUGAGUAAUAUCUGGGGAUCUGCCCGCUAGAGGGGGAUAACUCCUGGAAACGGUGGCUAAUCCCGCAUACUAUCGGAUGUGCCCAUAUGGGAUUAGCUAGUAGGUGGGGUAAAGGCUCACCUAGGCGACGAUCCCUAGCUGGUCUGAGAGGAUGACCAGCCACACUGGGACUGAGACACGGCCCAGACUCCUACGGGAGGCAGCAGUGGGGAAUAUUGCACAAUGGGCGCAAGCCUGAUGCAGCCAUGCCGCGUGUAUGAAGAAGGCCUUAGGGUUGUAAAGUACUUUCAGCGGGGAGGCGUUACCCGCAGAAGAAGCACCGGCUAACUCCGUGCCAGCAGCCGCGGUAAUUC
rnacentral:rRNA from 1 species